AUUGAACGCUGGCGGCAUGCCUUACACAUGCAAGUCGAACGGCAGCACGGACUUCGGUCUGGUGGCGAGUGGCGAACGGGUGAGUAAUGUAUCGGAACGUACCUUUCAGUGGGGGAUAACGUAGCGAAAGUUACGCUAAUACCGCAUAUUCUGUGAGCAGGAAAGCAGGGGAUCGCAAGACCUUGCGCUGAUUGAGCGGCCGAUAUCAGAUUAGCUAGUUGGUGAGGUAAAGGGCUCACCAAGGCGACGAUCUGUAGCGGGUCUGAGAGGAUGAUCCGCCACACUGGAACUGAGACACGGUCCAGACUCCUACGGGAGGCAGCAGUGGGGAAUUUUGGACAAUGGGGGCAACCCUGAUCCAGCCAUGCCGCGUGAGUGAAGAAGGCCUCGGUUGU
rnacentral:rRNA from 1 species